rnacentral:rRNA from 1 species
UCCAUAGGUUAAUGAGGCGAACCGGGGGAACUGAAACAUCUAAGUACCCCGAGGAAAAGAAAUCAACCGAGAUUCCCCCAGUAGCGGCGAGCGAACGGGGAGGAGCCCAGAGCCUGAAUCAGCAUGUGUGUUAGUGGAAGCGUCUGGAAAGUCGCGCGAUACAGGGUGACAGCCCCGUACACAAAAGCGCAUGUGUUGUGAGCUCGAUGAGUAGGGCGGGACACGUGGUAUCCUGUCUGAAUAUGGGGGGACCAUCCUCCAAGGCUAAAUACUCCUGACUGACCGAUAGUGAACCAGUACCGUGAGGGAAAGGCGAAAAGAACCCCGGCGAGGGGAGUGAAAAAGAACCUGAAACCGUGUACGUACAAGCAGUGGGAGCACCCUUCGGGGUGUGACUGCGUACCUUUUGUAUAAUGGGUCAGCGACUUAUAUUCUGUAGCAAGGUUAACCGAAUAGGGGAGCCGGAGGGAAACCGAGUCUUAAUUGGGCGUUAAGUUGCAGGGUAUAGACCCGAAACCCGGUGAUCUAGCCAUGGGCAGGUUGAAGGUUGGGUAACACUAACUGGAGGACCGAACCGACUAAUGUUGAAAAAUUAGCGGAUGACCUGUGGCUGGGGGUGAAAGGCCAAUCAAACCGGGAGAUAGCUGGUUCUCCCCGAAAGCUAUUUAGGUAGCGCCUCGUGAAUUCAUCUCCGGGGGUAGAGCACUGUUUCGGCUAGGGGGCCAUCCCGGCUUACCAACCCGAUGCAAACUGCGAAUACCGGAGAAUGUUAUCACGGGAGACACACGGCGGGUGCUAACGUCCGUCGUGAAGAGGGAAACAACCCAGACCGCCAGCUAAGGUCCCAAAGUCAUGGUUAAGUGGGAAACGAUGUGGGAAGGCCCAGACAGCCAGGAUGUUGGCUUAGAAGCAGCCAUCAUUUAAAGAAAGCGUAAUAGCUCACUGGUCGAGUCGGCCUGCGCGGAAGAUGUAACGGGGCUAAACCAUGCACCGAAGCUGCGGCAGCGACACUGUGUGUUGUUGGGUAGGGGAGCGUUCUGUAAGCCUGUGAAGGUGUGUCGUGAGGC